ACCUGGAAGAGGGGAAAGGGAGCGUAAAUAUUUCACAUGCACAUCAAUUUGAUUUGGUGAUGGUUAUUACUUCGGUUUCCUUUAAUUAUGUUAUUUUCUUCAUUCAUCCAUCUAAAACCAACUGCUUCAAAAGUAUCACCGAUGGGACCCCUGACUUGCCUAGCACGUCCUUGAAUGCAGACAUUGUGAACCUGGACAGUUAAUCUGAUAACUGAGACAGUCACCAAGUACCUAAGGGGGCAAAGGGUGGUCGUGUACACAGUAUGGACUCACUGGACCAAAAGACACCUCAUUCCGAAGCAGAGUAAAGUGGGACAGUCUGAGAUCUCAUGCUACACAGAAUAACGUUUAAAGCACACGGAUUGUUCGCUUCUGGGCGGUUCCACUUAAUAUUUCUGAGCAGCUGUUGACCUCAAGUAACUGAGCCCUCAGGUAACUAUGAUCUCAGAAAGUGGAACCAGAGAAACGGGAGCUACUAAAUAAAAUGUAGAUUUAAAAGAUACCAUUUUGAUAGGGGGAAACUGAGUCCGCUGCUCUCUAUCUCUAUUAACCUAUCAGUUACAUGUCUGACCUCUUAACACAACAAACGUGAACGCGGUUUUUCAGAAAGAACUCAGGUUUACUUGACUCCGUUGAAACAUCUAGUUGUGACCCCGGCAGCUUCCCAAUAGCCAAGACUUUGUCAAGGACAUGGAAAAGCGGUGAUAGAAAUGAGGAUGACACUUAAAAUACUUAACGAAAUAUGACAACAUCUGGAAGAUUUACACAGUUCAUUGGAAAAUGUUCUUGAAAUGGCUAAGGUUUAAUGUUACGACACUAAGCCCAGGAGGGAGCGGUUCCAAGCCUCAAAUCAAUGAGUUUGAACACAGUGAAGCCUCAGGAGUCAGGUUUCCAACUGCACACCAACCUACCUUUAAGACCAACUACGCGUCACGGAGCUCUGCUCCAGCAUCAACGACUUCCACCAUUACAGAGUGCAAGCAAAAUAGCCCUCGCUUUUCCAACCCUGAAUCUACGCGGAACUGACUUCCUUCACAUACGUCAGCCAAAACACCAGACUGAGCAGAAGUGCCAGAGGAACACCGCUCCUCUUUAAUAAAGACGAGAUGAUAGGGGAAGCUACAGCCGUGAAACCACAACAAUAUGGCUGCCUACGUCAUUUAGACAAGAGAAAUGACACCACCAGCUGACAUGCCAACAUGGAGAGGUGAAAUCUCACAAGCCCCCACCCGGAGUAAGAACAAGCAAUUAAUGACUGCUCAGAGAAGAAUCGGUCUUCCCCAGCGAUGAGUUUUUGAACUGGUUAUCCUAUACCAAGAAGUCGGCCCUAAAAGCAUACACAUAUGAACAUGAAAUGGACUAAACAAAUGUGUAAAUAUAUUUAAAUAUAUGUGUAUAUAUUAUGUGUCUGUGUCUUAUAAUAAUAACUAAAGAAACAA